UUUUCUUGCAGCAAAGGUUCAGGUGAAUGAGACCUUAUUGCAAGCAAGGGGUGAGAAAAGGUCUGUGAAGGAAUAGAGGGAGAGUGAUGACAUGGCAGAGGAGAGUUAAUACUCUAUGAUGUGCAAGGGGGGUGGAGAAGCAAGGGAGCAGAGAAAAGGGAGAAAAGCCCUUAGGUAGGAUGAAGCAGGGGGCACAGCCACCAAAUCAGGAAUAACCAGGCUCAUCACAUGCAUUGUGGCGUGCAUCAGAGUGCAAGUUCAGAUGAAGCAUUUGUCUUUCAUGUUCAAUGUUGUACAAAAUAUUGAAAUAUGGUCAGUGCAAAAUAAACCUAUGAUCUGGUGACUGGUGACUGCUCCUGGAGGGAGGUGAUGCUUGUAAUGAGAACCAAGAGGUGUCUCAGUUUCCUGCAGCUGAAACGAAACCCCACUUUGUGAAACACCAGAGCUCUGUUUCCAGCCUAAGGUCCAGACUCAGAACUGAGAACCUCAAGUGUUAAUUAUGUGGGAGAAGUGUUGGAAGGAGGCAGGAUCCACGACCUUGGUCUAUCAGGUUACUGCAUUUCACAGAGGAAACUUUGCCUCAGAGAGAGAAAAGAAGAGUGAUGGGAAAUUUACCCAAGAUUUCUCCUGCUUUGCCUCAGAUGUGGGGACAUUAUUGACCUUCCACACACAG